rnacentral:rRNA from 1 species
AUGAGUCUUUGCCCAAAAGGUGUCGGAUCAUGCUUUCGGCAUCGCUAAGGAUGGGGCCGCGACCGAUCAGGUUGUUGGUGAGGUAAUGGCCCACCAAGCCUAUAACCGGUGCGGGCCGUGAGAGCGGGAGCCCGGAGAUGGGCACUGAGACAAGGGCCCAGGUCCUACGGGGCGCAGCAGUCGCGAAACCUUUGCAAUACACGAAAGUGUGACAGGGUCAUCCCGAGUGCCGACCGCUGAGGUUGGCUUUUACCCAGUCUAGAAAGCUGGGGGAAUAAGGAGAGGGCAAGUCUGGUGUCAGCCGCCGCGGUAAUACCAGCUCUCCGAGUGGUGUGGACGUUUAUUGGGCCUAAAGCAUCCGUAGCUGGCUGAACAAGUCCCCUGUUAAACCCACCGAUUUAAUCGUUGGUCUGCGGGGGAUACUGCUCGGCUAGGGGACGAGAGAGGCAGACGGUAUUCCCGGGGUAGGGGUGAAAUCCUAUAAUCCCGAGAAGACCACCAGUGGCGAAGGCUGUCUGCUAGAACGCGCCCGACGGUGAGGGAUGAAAGCUGGGGGAGCGAACCGGAUUAGAUACCCGGGUAGUCCCAGCUGUAAACGAUGCAGACUAGGUGUUUGGACGGCCACGUGCCGUUCUAGUGCCGCAGGGAAGCUGUUA